rnacentral:rRNA from 1 species
UACGUAGGUGGCAAGCGUUAUCCGGAAUUACUGGGCGUAAAGCGCACGCAGGCGGUCUUUUAAGUUUGACGUGAAAGCUCCCGGCUUAACUGGGAGAGGUCGUUGAAGACUGGAAGACUUGAGGCAAUGAGAGGGGUGUAGAAUUCCCGGUGUAGUGGUGGAAUGCGUAGAUAUCGGGGGGAAUACCAGUGGCGAAGGCGGCUCACUGGCCCGUUACCGACGCUCAGGCGCGACAGCGUGGGGAGCAAACAGG